rnacentral:rRNA from 1 species
GGAAAGGCGCGCGAUACAGGGUGACAGCCCCGUACACAAAAAUGCACAUGCUGUGAGCUCGAUGAGUAGGGCGGGACACGUGGUAUCCUGUCUGAAUAUGGGGGGACCAUCCUCCAAGGCUAAAUACUCCUGACUGACCGAUAGUGAACCAGUACCGUGAGGGAAAGGCGAAAAGAACCCCGGCGAGGGGAGUGAAAAAGAACCUGAAACCGUGUACGUACAAGCAGUGGGAGCACGCUUAGGCGUGUGACUGCGUACCUUUUGUAUAAUGGGUCAGCGACUUAUAUUCUGUAGCAAGGUUAACCGAAUAGGGGAGCCGAAGGGAAACCGAGUCUUAACUGGGCGUUAAGUUGCAGGGUAUAGACCCGAAACCCGGUGAUCUAGCCAUGGGCAGGUUGAAGGUUGGGUAACACUAACUGGAGGACCGAACCGACUAAUGUUGAAAAAUUAGCGGAUGACUUGUGGCUGGGGGUGAAAGGCCAAUCAAACCGGGAGAUAGCUGGUUCUCCCCGAAAGCUAUUUAGGUAGCGCCUCGUGAAUUCAUCUCCGGGGGUAGAGCACUGUUUCGGCAAGGGGGUCAUCCCGACUUACCAACCCGAUGCAAACUGCGAAUACCGGAGAAUGUUAUCACGGGAGACACACGGCGGGUGCUAACGUCCGUCGUGAAGAGGGAAACAACCCAGACCGCCAGCUAAGGUCCCAAAGUCAUGGUUAAGUGGGAAACGAUGUGGGAAGGCCCAGACAGCCAGGAUGUUGGCUUAGAAGCAGCCAUCAUUUAAAGAAAGCGUAAUAGCUCACUGGUCGAGUCGGCCUGCGCG